rnacentral:rRNA from 1 species
UACGUAGGGUGCAAGCGUUGUCCGGAAUUAUUGGGCGUAAAGAGCUCGUAGGCGGUCUGUCACGUCGGCUGUGAAAACCCGAGGCUCAACCUCGGGCCUGCAGUCGAUACGGGCAAACUAGAGUACUGCAGGGGGAGACUGGAAUUCCUGGUGUAGCGGUGAAAUGCGCAGAUAUCAGGAGGAACACCGGUGGCGAAAGCAGCUCUCUGGGACGGUACUGACGCUGAGGCGCGAAAGCGUGGGGAGCAAACGGG